UGGGGGAGGCCAGAUGCCCUGGCAUGAAGCAGCCCUGUAGAGAAGCCCACAGGGUAAACUGAGUACAAAUUUCUAAGUCUGCCAACAGCUACGAGAGGGAGCCUGGCAGCAGAUUCCUCAGCCCCAAUCCGACUUUGAGAGAACUGCAGCCUUGGGAAAGACCUUGAGCUACAGGCACACCACUAAGAGGUCUGGACUCCGGGACCAUACAAACUAUGCCAGUUUCUAACUAAAAGGAGAGCUGAGACUAGAAGAAUCUGAAUAGUCCGUGAUGCUCUGUGAAACAUCAGGGCUGUUGUCUUGGUGUCACUUUCUACGCCCAAGCCUCUGAAAUGGGAUCGGUCAAGGUGGUGUGGAGAAGAGGCUGGAACUCAAGAGGAUUGGCACCAAAUUUCAGAGCACAUCCCAGGUACGGAAUCAACCCAUUCUCCAGAGGUGGUUCACCCAUUUGUCUGUAAGACACAAACAUACGAUAAGUAUGGGAAAUUACACAUUGCUUUUUUUAUUUACACCUGAUUUAAACUUUCACUACUGACUUCAAACUUUAAAAACCUACAGUUAUAGAUCAUUCUUUUGUUGGUGGGGCCCUGCUCUUUUACUAAAAUAAUGGGUUUUAUUAACCUAGUAACAUGAUAUGUUGGUAAAAAUGAUUGCUAAAUCCAU